UGAUCUUUUUGGUUUGCUUAUUGUACUGUUGUCCUAUAACUCAGAGCAAAGAAUCACCUGGUUCUGUAUAUUCAGAAGCAGAACAGGUGUAUGGUCCUGGAUGUAUAUAACACAUUUGGCUUUAAGCAGUUAAGAUCUAAUCCAGGCAAAAGAAUACAUCUGGUUUCCACAUUGUCCAAGUCAGUUGUAAAUGUUAAUUUUUAGGUGGCUUCCUGGCUGUUCAGGCCAGAUGUAUUUUUGGAUAAAUGCAUCCAUCAGUAGUUAUGAAGCAAUUUUGUUGUUUCUUCUCGGAGGGCCUUAUUUUCCCUUACUUACACAGAUGUAAAUCAGAAGAACCUCCUUUGAUGUCCCUGAGCCUGUUCUAAGGAAGUUUCCAGUAUAUGAAGGAGAAUCUUCAGGGUCCUGGUCACAACUGCACCAAAGCCAAUAUGAGUUCAUCCAUCUAAAUUGAAGGCUGUAUUUGCUUAUCAGAGCGUUGAUAGGGUUUUCGUUGUAGUUGUAUUUCCUUUGACAAAACUGACUAUUGAAAAAUGGCACCAUCUUUUCGCAAUCCGAUUUCAAGGGAAAUACUUUUUUGAGAACAGGACGAAAUACAAGAGAGGUUCUCCAGGAGUCAUCCAAUAAUCCCCGAAUCCUACAUAUAAAUGUAGGUUUGUGUUUUGUCGCGAGAAUCACAGGUCCAAUGAUGCAUACCC